rnacentral:rRNA from 1 species
GAUGAACGCUGGCGGCGUGCCUAAUACAUGCAAGUCGAGCGAACGGACGAGAAGCUUGCUUUUCUGAUGUUAGCGGCGGACGGGUGAGUAACACGUGGAUAACCUACCUAUAAGACUGGGAUAACUUCGGGAAACCGGAGCUAAUACCGGAUAAUAUUUUGAACCGCAUGGUUCAAAAGUGAAAGACGGUCUUGCUGUCACUUAUAGAUGGAUCCGCGCUGCAUUAGCUAGUUGGUAAGGUAACGGCUUACCAAGGCAACGAUGCAUAGCCGACCUGAGAGGGUGAUCGGCCACACUGGAAGUGAGACACGGUCCAGACUCCUACGGGAGGCAGCAGUAGGGAAUCUUCCGCAAUGGGCGAAAGCCUGACGGAGCAACGGCGCGUGAGUGAUGAAGGUCUUCGGAUCGUAAAACUCUGUUAUUAGGGAAGAACAUGUGUGUAAGUAACUGUGCACAUCUUGACGGUACCUAAUCAGAAAGCCACGGCUAACUACGUG